rnacentral:rRNA from 1 species
GCAAGUCGAGCGAGACCUUCGGGUCUAGCGGCGGACGGGUUAGUAACGCGUGGGAAUAUGCCCAAUGGUACGGAAUAGCCUCUGGAAACGGAGAGUAAUACCGUAUGUGCCCUUCGGGGGAAAGAUUUAUCGGAGAAGGAUUAGCCCGCGUUAGAUUAGGUAGUUGGUGGGGUAAUGGCCUACCAAGCCUACGAUCUAUAGCUGGUUUGAGAGGAUGAUC